AUAUUUCACAAUGGGCGUCCGCCUGAUCCAGCCCUUCCUCGUGUGUGACGAAGGUCUUCGGAUUGUAAAGCACUUUAAGUUGGGAGUCAGGUCAGUCAGUUAAUACCUUGCUGUCUUGACGUUACCGCCCGAAUAAGUACCGGCUAACUUCGUUUCCGCAGCCACGGUAAUACGAAGGGUGCAAGCGUUAAUCGGAAUUACGGGGCGUAAAGCGCGCGUAGGUGGUUUGUUAAGUUGGAAGUGAAAGCCCCGGGCUCAACCUGGGAACUGCUUUCAAAACUGGCAAGCUAGAGUACGGUAGAGGGUAGUGGAAUUUCCUGUAUAGCGGUGAAAUGCGUAGAUAUAGGAAGGAACACCAGUGGCGAAGGCGACUACCUGGACUGAUACUGACACUGAGGUGCGAAAGCGUGGGGAGCAAACA
rnacentral:rRNA from 1 species